rnacentral:rRNA from 1 species
ACCAGCAGCCAUACCAGCUGCAGUUCAGACCAGGUAAGCUAAGCAGGUGUGGAUCUGACCAGUACUUAGGUGGGAGACCAACUAGGAAAGCUGGGUUGCUGCUGGAA